rnacentral:rRNA from 1 species
AAAGGGGUGCUAAUACCGAAUGUGACAGCAAUCUCGCAUGAGGAUGCUGUGAAAGAUGGCCUCUAUUUAUAAGCUAUCGCUAGAGGAUGGGCCUGCGUCUGAUUAGCUAGUUGGUGGGGUAACGGCCUACCAAGGCGAUGAUCAGUAGCCGGUCUGAGAGGAUGAACGGCCACAUUGGGACUGAGACACGGCCCAGACUCCUACGGGAGGCAGCAGUGGGGAAUCUUCCGCAAUGGGCGAAAGCCUGACGGAGCAAUGCCGCGUGAGUGAUGAAGGAAUUCGUUCCGUAAAGCUCUUUUGUUUAUGACGAAUGUGCAGGUUGUGAAUAAUGACUUGUAAUGACGGUAGUAAACGAAUAAGCCACGGCUAACUACGUGCCAGCAGCCGCGGUAAUACGU